rnacentral:rRNA from 1 species
GACGAACGCUGGCGGCGUGCUUAACACAUGCAAGUCGAACGGUAAGGCCCUUCGGGGUACACGAGUGGCGAACGGGUGAGUAACACGUGGGUGAUCUACCCUGCACUUCGGGAUAAGCCUGGGAAACUGGGUCUAAUGCCGGAUAGGACCACUGCCUGCAUGGGUGGUGGUGGAAAGCUUUUGCGGUGUGGGAUGGGCCCGCGGCCUAUCAGCUUGUUGGUGGGGUGAUGGCCUACCAAGGCGACGACGGGUAGCCGGCCUGAGAGGGUGACCGGCCACACUGGGACUGAGAUACGGCCCAGACUCCUACGGGAGGCAGCAGUGGGGAAUAUUGCACAAUGGGCGCAAGCCUGAUGCAGCGACGCCGUGUGAGGGAUGACGGCCUUCGGGUUGUAAACCUCUUUCAGCACCGACGAAGCGCAAGUGACGGUAGGUGCAGAAGAAGGACCGGCCAACUACGUGCCAGCCGCCGCCGUAG